ACAUCAGCCACCUUUAGCUACCAACCCUAGCUUGAGUCUUAUCGAACCUCCUUAGCUACCAUCCUUUUUCAGAGUCUCACUGAGUCCUCUUCGGCUACCUCAUCGAAUCUACUCAGCUACCAUCCUCUUCCAGAGUCUCAUCGAGUCCUCUUCGACUACCAACCUCUCCCUGGGUCUCACCAAAUGUGCGUUAGAACCCUACACAAUAUUAUGACAUCUAAAGAGUAUCUUUUUAAUAUCAUUUUGGUGGUA
rnacentral:lncRNA from 1 species